GAAGCAACCGUCGCUGUUUGUCAAGGGCUUGACAUUUGUCAGAACGGGGGCUGGAUGGCUCGCGUUGCCUGGAUGGGUUCGUUCUUUCCCACAUCCAGUGAGGGAGAUGCUCCUAUACCCAUUUGACAGGCCCAGCCAGCACACCUGGGUGCAGAAGGCACGAGUCCAUGAGGGCCAGACCACAGAGCCAUGUGUCAGCUGGACUGCUCAUCUUGAGCCCGGGACCCCACUGGCUUGGCAGGACAGGCCUCCCCAGGAGCCACAGUCACCUUCUCUGUGCAAGCCAAGGUGGUGAGGAUGGUUCUGCCCCCACAGGGCGCUGGGCCCGGUCUCCUUCAUUCAGACUGUGCCUUGGUGAGAAUCAGUGUGUGGCCCCUUCCCGACAGGCUUCACUCCCACUUCACGUCCUCGCUCAGGAAGUCGUCCUGAAAUUUCUGAUGUGUUAGAACAAGACAGCCGUGGCCUCAGCUCUCCAAUGGACAAGGUGGCAGUGUUUGCCCGGCAGCCUGGCCCCUAGUGGCCCACUACCCUGUUUCUGAUGCCAUGAAGAGCUGCCCCGGCCCCACGGGAUGCCCACCAGGAUCAGAGACCUGGGGCGGCUUUCCCUCCAGGCCCACCCUGUUAGCCCACAUCCCACCCCGCUUCAAGCCUCUGCCCCCGGCACACUUAUAGCUGCCUUCUGCUUGUGCCUGUCUCCUGCCUGUGCCCAUCUCCUACCUGUACUCGUCUCCUGCCCGUGCCCAUCUCCUGCCUGUGCC
rnacentral:lncRNA from 1 species